rnacentral:rRNA from 1 species
UGAGGAACAUGACCUUCGGCGGGGGAUAGCCGGCCCAACGGCCGGGUAAUACCGCGUACGACCACUUUGGGACAUCCCUCGGUGGUGAAAGCAGCAAUGCGCCGAUGGAGUGCCUCGCGGCCUAUCAGCUAGUUGGUGAGGUAACGGCUCACCAAGGCGACGACGGGUAGCUGGUCUGAGAGGAUGGCCAGCCACAUUGGGACUGAGACACGGCCCAGACCUCCGUACGGGAGCAG